UGGGAGGAGGAUAACCCCGGGAAACUGGGGCUAAUACUCCAUAGAUGAGUAACCCUGGAAUUGGGUACUCAUCGAAAGGGUGCAGGGGCAUGUCCCUGUACCGCCCAAGGAUGAGACUGUGUUCCAUCAGGUAGUUGGCGAGGUAACGGCUCGCCAAGCCGAUAACGGAUGCGGGCAGUGAGAGCUGGAGCCCGGAGAUGGGCACUGAGACAAGGGCCCAGGCCCUACGGGGCGCACCAGGCGAGAAACCUUAGCAAUGCGGGAAACCGUGACUGGGCCAUCCCGAGUGCCAGCCGCUAAGGCUGGCUUUUCCCCAGAGUAAGCAUCUGGGGGAAUAAGCGGGGGGCAAGACUGGUGUCAGCCGCCGCGGUAAUACCAGCUCCGCGAGUGGUCGGGACGAUUAUUGAGCCUAAAGCGCUCGUAGCCGGCCCCGUAAGUCCCGUGUUAAAUCCAACGGCUUAACCGUUGGGCUGCAUGGGAUACUGCGGGGCUAGGGAGCGGAAGAGGCCAGGGGUACUCCCGGGGUAGGGGCGAAAUCCUAUAAUCCCGGGAGGACGACCAGUGGCGAAGGCGCCUGGCUAGGACGCGUCCGACGGUGAGGGGCGAAAGCUGGGGGAGCGAACCGGAUUAGAUACCCGGGUAGUCCCAGCCGUAAACGAUGCGGACUGGGUGUUGGCACGGCUUCGGGCCGUGCCAGUGCCUCAGGGAAGCCGUUAAGUCCGCCGCUUGGGGAGUACGGUCGCAAGACUGAAACUUAAAGGAAUUGGCGGGGGAGCACCACAAGGGGUGAAGCCUGCGGCUCAAUUGGAGUCAACUCCGGGAACCUUAUCAGGUGCGACAGCAGGAUGAAGGCCAAGCUGAUGACUUUGCCUGACGCGCUGAGAGGUGGCGCAUGGCCGUCGCCAGCUCGUGCCGUGAGGUGUCUGGUUAAGUCCAGGAACGAGCGAGACCCUCACCCUUAGUUGCGACCGCGAAAGCGGGCACACUAAGGGGACCGCCACCGUUAAGGUGGAGGAAGGAGGGGGCAACGGCAGGUCAGCACGCCCCGAAUCACCUGGGCCGCACGCGGGCUGCAAUGGUGGAGACAGUGGGAUCCGAACCCGAAAGGGGGAGGUAAUCCUUGAAACUCCACCGUAGUUGGGAUCGAGGGCUGCAACCCGCCCUCGUGAACCUGGAAUCCCCAGUAAU
rnacentral:rRNA from 1 species